rnacentral:rRNA from 1 species
CUGUUCAGGUAUUGACGGUAGUUUAACCAGAAAGCCACGGCAACUACGUGCCAGCAGCCGCGGUAAUACGUAGGUGGCAAGCGUUGUCCGGAGUUUAUUGGGCGUAAAGACGAGCGCAGGCGGUUUUUAAGGUUCUUGAUGUGAAAGACCUUCGGCUCAACCGAACGAAAGUAGCAUCGGAAACUAGGGAAACGUUAGAGUGCAGAAGAGGACAGUGGAACUCCAUGUGUAGCGGUGAAAAUGCGUAGAUAUAUGGAAGAACACCAGUGGCGAAGGCGGCUGUCUGGUCCGUAACUGACGCUGAGGCUCGAAAGUAUGGGUAGCAAACAGGAUUAGAUACCCUGGUAG